rnacentral:tRNA from 1 species
GCGCCAUCCUGCGCGGCGAGCGGCAGGUUGUCAUCCUGCCGGUUGACUCGUUCGAAUCGGUUCUGGCCCUC